rnacentral:snRNA from 1 species
GGAUGUAAGGGCACUCUGGCUGCAAUAUCUGUCACCUCACUGAUCAGCAGUGUUGUUUCAGUUCAUCUAACUGACUAAGUGCGUUUUUCCUUCCUCCUUUACUGCUCCAUGUGAGUUUUUCCACAGGAAACUGUGUAAUAUGCCAAAGAAGACGACCUUCCCUGAUAGAGGAGAUUGGGUCUUUAGUCAAGGUUGUACGAAUAGCUGUGCUCCCCUUCUAAAACCUCCAAAAAGGCUCUCGAGGCUUGGCAUAGUUUCCUUAUGAUACCUAUAUUCGGAUGGGUGAGCAUCAAUGAAUAAUUCGAAUAUGAAGUCCAGAUCAUAAUGC